rnacentral:rRNA from 1 species
UACGAAGGGAGCUAGCGUUGUUCGGAAUCACUGGGCGUAAAGCGCACGUAGGCGGAUUUGUCAGUCAGGGGUGAAAUCCCGGGGCUCAACCUCGGAACUGCCUUUGAUACAGCAAGUCUUGAGUUCGAGAGAGGUGGGUGGAAUUCCUAGUGUAGAGGUGAAAUUCGUAGAUAUUAGGAAGAACACCGGUGGCGAAGGCGGCCCACUGGCUCGAUACUGACGCUGAGGUGCGAAAGCGUGGGGAGCGAACCGG